GGCGGACUGACUGACUGAAAGCAACCUAGAGAGAGAGAGAGAGAGAGAGAGAGAGAGAGAGAGUGAUGAUCAGCGAGAGAUGUGUCCCAAGAACUGCCCUCCUCCUGCGGACAUGAAGACCAGGUCCAAGUCCUCCAUGCCCGGCAAACCAAAGAAGAAGCAAAAGCAAACCCUGGCCUCCCUCACCAACCCAUCUCGCAGAUCAAGAACCAAGAUUCGCAGGCCCAAGUUCUUGAGCCUCGGCCUUCAAAUCUCCCCUCAGAGCUCCCGGACGAGCGCCGCCGCCGCCGCCCCCGCCCCCCAAAUGAACCGCACUUACCACCGCAAGACCGUGCGCCGCCACCGCCAGAAGCACCAGCUGGAGCUGUUCCCCCUCCACCCGGGAGCCCACUUGGCCAACGGCGGCGACGGCGGCGGGGAUCAAGGCCAGCAGCUCCAGGACGAGAACGACGUCGCCCUGCUGUUCGACUCCGCCGCCGCCGCCGCCGCCGCCACCCUCACCGGCCUCCUCGACCCCGCCGCCCCCGCCCCGGCCGUCGCCGCCGCGGCCGCCGCCUCCUCCGGGGUGGUGGAGGAGGAGGAAUCGGCGGUGUCGUCGCUGAUACGGUGCGCCAUGAAGAGCAGCAGCAGAGAGAGGGGGGAGAGCGAAGAGAAGUGGGUGUGCUACAGCGAGGUCAUCGUCGAGGCGGAGAAGAAGGCGGAGAUGGAGGAGGUGACCAGCUGCGCCGCCGACGCGUGGCGGGGAGGGCGGACGGCGCAGCAGGGGGCGAUGCUGUCGCUGAAGCUCGAUUACCAGGAGAUCUUGGACGCCUGGUCCGACAAGGGCUCGCUCUUCGUGUGCGGCGGGGAUGCGAAUCACGAGACGCCUCAGACCGUGCCUGACUUGAUGCGUGUUGAUAACGCGCGUUUCCAACAUUUGCACCGACAGGCACACGUCACACCCUCGCUCUUGCGUCGAUGCAUGCGAUCCAGAUAUGAUUUUCGCAUAUUUAUGGAAAUUAAUGGAGUCGAAAAUUCUGACCGACGUGAAUCCAUUAAUCAAUUUUGGCCCCAUUAAUCCGGGGCUCACGGCCACAGUGGCUACUAACCUGAAAAGCAUGCAUUUAUGCACUUAUGAUUGAUUUCUCACUAUCGUUGAGAUGCUUAGGGGGCGAUGGAUGGAUGGGAGAAUGUGUGGACAGUCCCGGAGAAAGCAGCAGAAAGCGAAGCCGCCACCAUCAACAGGGAUGUGACUAUGGAGGACGGUGGCGAGUUCAGCGACAAGAUCAGGCAAAGAGAGGCGAGCGUGAUGCGGUACAA